AAAGUUAGAGGUUCGAAGGCGAUCAGAUACCGCCCUAGUUCUAACCAUAAACGAUGCCAGCCAGCGAUCCGGCUGUGUUCCUCAAAUGACACGCCGGGCAGCUUCCGGGAAACCAAAGCUUUUGGGUUCCGGGGGAAGUAUGGUUGCAAAGCUGAAACUUAAAGGAAUUGACGGAAGGGCACCACCAGGAAUGGAGCCUGCGGCUUAAUUUGACUCAACACGGGGAAACCUACCCGGCCCGGACACAGGAAGGAUUGACAGAUUGAGAGCUCUUUCUUGAUUCUGUGGCAGGUGGUGCAUGGCCGUUCUUAGUUGGUGAGGCGACUUGUCUGGUUAAUUCCGAUAACGAACGAGACUCUAGCCUAUUAAAUAGACGUUCCGAUCAUCUCCGUCGGACGUUCUUCUUAGAGGGACAAGCAGCGUUUAGCUGCACGAGACAGAGCAAUAACAGGUCUGUGAUGCCCUUAGAUGUCCGGGGCCGCACGCGCGCUACAUUGAAGGAAUCAUCGUGUGCUUUCCCUGUCCGACAGGACUGGGUAACCCGUUGAACCUCCUUCGUGCUGGGGAUAGGAGUUUGCAAUUGUCCUCCUUGAACGAGGAAUUCCCAGUAAGCACGAGUCAUCAGCUCGUGUUGACUAAGUCCCUGCCCUUUGUACACACCGCCCGUCGCUACGACCGAUUGAAUGAUUUAGUGAGGUCUUCGGACUGGUGGCCGAAAUGGGCUCUUGCUCGUGGCGGAUCGCCGGAAAGAUGACCGAACUUGGUCAUU
rnacentral:rRNA from 1 species